rnacentral:tRNA from 1 species
AAGGAAGUUUAUAAAACUUUAGAUUUUGUUUCUAAGAAAGGUAAUUUGUUUUACCCCUUGUAA